CGAGAAUCCUUCAAUCAUAUGGAGAUGUCACUACUACUGGUGAAGGGCUGCAAAAUUUAGGCCUAUGCUCGACGCUUAUGGCCUUUGAGCAGGGAUGGAUCUUUAUCGUGUCACACCUGCUGUGACACAGGGCCUCGGUUUUUGCCGUCUCAUCUGAAGGACUGAGAAAAUCGAAUGCAAAUGAAAAACAUAAAACAUUCCUGUUUCUAAAGUUCGGAUUUUUAUUUUAUUAUGUAUGUAUCAUCAAUAGAGUCUGCAGCAAAAAUGUAGAUGUAGGGUUGGGAAACCAAAAACAGACAUAUUUUAUUUAGGCCUAAUAUAUUUGAAAGAUUGACAUAAUUGUUAUUUGUAGUUUGUCACAAUUUUUCAAUUUAAAAUACAGGGAAUCAUGUAGGCACAUACUGUAUGCGACACGACACAAAACACUAGGUAUUAUUCUAUUUGAUACUUUCAUUUUGUAAUUUGAUAUGAGUGGAUAAGUAUUUACUCAUUUGAAGUGAAUGCCCUCCUAUUUUAUUCAGACUCUAUCAAUUGUGUACUUCAGGAAAAAUUAUAAAUGAAUAAGUGAAACAAUUAAAAUAUCAUUCAUUGUAGUGACAUUUCAACUAUGGAAGAAAACAAUGCACCAUUUGUCCAUCACGCUACUUUUAAUGAGGUACUGCAGUUAUAGAUGGUGAAUUUCUAGGUAAUCCUGCAUCACUUUUGAAAUCUACAAGUGUGCUUCAAGACCUGGAGGAAAGUGGCGAUUCUGGAAAUGAUGAUGAGAAUUCUAACCCAGCGCAAGUUUGUCUGCCAGAUCGAGAUUCACUAAAUGUUGAUCAUUCCCCUCAGACUCCAAAACUAGUUUGUCCAUCACAUAUAGAUUUACGGGAAAUGGACCUUUCUCUUCACACUCCACAAGGAAUAGUCAAUGAAACUGCACAUAUAGACAAAGUGUCAGGAAGGUGCUGACCAUGCUGGCAAAAACGGAUUUGGUAGUCUAACAGGUAUUUAAAGAACACGGAUUAUCCCCUGGUCAUCAUACACUGAAAUAUUCGGAGAAUAUGGACAUGAAAAGACAGAAGAGACAGGAAAGAUCAAAGUUGCCUGAAAAGAAGCGCCGUCGAUUGGAAAUGAAGCAGGAGAAAAUUACCCACAAAGGAGCGAACGAAGCAGCUGAAGGAGAUACAUAUCAAUCAGAAGUUGAGACUUUCUCACCAAGUCGACAUCCAGACUAUUCCUAAUGCAGUUCCCAAACCAGGAUUCACCAAAGUCGACCACCUGAACGAAGUUCAAGAAAAUAGGGUCAUUAUCGACCUAGAAACUAUAGGAUUUAUUCAGCGUGGACUAAUGCCUCAUAUCACACAGACUGCUGUGCAAGUUCUGAAUUCUGAUGUCGAGUGUUCAUGUUAUGUAUAUACUGGGAUGGUGAACACAUGACUGUGCACGGAAAGCAUGUGGCAACUGUAUCGAUAAUAGAGGCACUUUCAAAAUUUUUAAAGUUUUUGAAGAACAUUAGUAAUGUUCUUUUGAUUGCACACAAUGGAAAAGUUUUUGACUUCCGUGUUCUAUCCUAUGCUAUAUGUAGAGUGGGAAUGAAUUUUCAAAUCAUGUUUUAGUAUUUGUGGAUUCUUUGUCAUCAUUGCAUUCAAAAGUUCCAAAACUUGGGUCUUAUAAGCAAGGAUUUCUAGCAGAAUAUUUCUGUCAAGAAUCUUACAAUGAUCAUGGUGCAGUUGAUGAUGUCAAAAUGUUAGCUAAGAUUCUGUAUGCAAGUGGCAUGACAGAAGCAGAUGAUGUAAAACAUUCUCAUGCGUCAAAUUGUCAUUUUUUACAAGAAGGGUUCAAUCUUGCCAAGGCCAAAAAUAUUGGCACCCUACAUUGUGUUGUUGCCAGUGGUGUACUCAAAUUAGCUACUACAGAAAAUAUAGCAGACUCUGACCUAAAUCUACAACAUUUGAAGUUUGUUUGGCAGAGAGAUGUUGAAGAUGAUCUAAGAAAUAUUUUUACUGCAAACAGUUGUUUUGAGAAACCACGUGUAACCAAAGAUAAAAAGUUGUUGGGAAAUAUUAGUCCAAAGUUUUGUUCAUUUUUUGAACAGUAAAUUAGUCAUGUUUAUAAGCAUGUUUUGAGUAUGAGUUUGACACAUGUAAAGUUGAUAAAUUAGCUAUUCGGUCGUAAGAUGUGAAAAGUAAACUAUAUAUGAUAAUGAGCAUUUCCUGAUGAUUCAAGGUCAGGUGGAGGUUAGUGACAUUUAUAAUUGUUUUGUUAGAGUUCCUAUGCUUUCAUUGUUUUAAUGAUACAUUUUUCAUAUGUAUGUUAUUUUUGUUUUUCAAAUUGGAAUGUUGCAUCAAAAUGUUUCAAUGUUAAGAUUUUUGUAGGGGUUGUUGUUGUUCAACAUAGUAUAAUUUAAGCUUUCUAUGGUAAGUGUAUUUAUAAUUGUGGUAAACAAAAAUAUAGGGAUUGAACUUCAUUUGCAGUACAUUAUUUGUGAAAAAUUUGCAUUUUUUUUAAAAAACAGAGAUUUUGUACAUUUCACCUUUUUUAUUUUUCCAUUUUUUCUUGUUUUUUCAUAGUCAGUUUGUCUUUUUGAAGUUAGAAGUGUUUUAUAAUCAAAAUUAUGUUUUAAUAAUAAAAGAAAACUUUAAAUGUC